rnacentral:tRNA from 1 species
GGCCGCAUGCCCGAGUGGUCAGGGAAUCGUCUGCAAAACGAUCGACACCGGUUCGAAUCCGGUUGCGGCCUCCA